rnacentral:rRNA from 1 species
CCCUUAGAUACCCCCGGCCGCACGCGUGCUACAAUGGACACGUCAACAAGUUCCAGCUGUUCUGUGUGGUGUAUUAGUGUUCGCACUCGCCGCGUAUUUUUGAAGGAAUGGCUAAUCUUUGAACCGUGCCCAAGGUUGGGAUCGCGGAGUGCAAUUCUUCCGCGUGAACAAGGAAUGUUUCGUAGACGCGAGUCAUCAACUCGCAUCGAUUACGUCCCUGCCCUUUGUACACACCGCCCGUCGCACCUACCGAUGCUGCUCAUCUUGAAUUCGUGGGAUCGGUCUUGUUUCGGCGAGAUUGAGAACGCGCGUGAAAGCCGUGCAGUAGAGGAAGGUGAAGUCGUAACA